rnacentral:lncRNA from 1 species
AGUCGGAGAGAAACACUGAGGAUACAGCCUUGUUGAAACUGUUAAAGACAGAACACAAUACAAUCUUAGGACUCAGGAUGUUGUAGUUGCCGAUAUAGAUAUUUCCUGAAUGGAUUUGAUGUCUUUAUAGAGGAUGGUGCAGUAAUCUGAGCAGCGUAUUUGCAUAUUUGUGCAGAUAGUGCAGCUAUAUCAUUACAGCCUCAUUAUACAAAACGAUGGACAACUGGAUUAAUUCCUCAAACUGACUGGAAUGGACUCCCAACCAUGCAUACAGGUGAAAAUGACAAGCCCAAACUGACCCCUUGACUUGACCUCUGAUAGGUCAGGGCUCAGAUUGGAAUUCCCCAAAAAAUACAGACCAGUCCAAACCCCUCAACAUGUCUUUCCCGGAACACUUCACGUCCCCCUUACCCCCCAGACCAGAGGCCAAACCCCGGCCCCCCAUCUCCAGAAAACCCCCUUCCUCCAAUGGAGCCCCCUCCACCCCCUCCCAGCUAGGAGAGAUGGGCAGCACAGCACACAAUUCGGGGGGGAAAGUCAACAGCAUUGUGAGUAAGUUCAGCCACCCAGAGACUACACCAACCACCAGUGGAGAUGCUACACUAACCACCAAUCCAACUCUCCGGACCCGAAGGCCCAGGAGGGCCCCCACAGUCAAACCCAAACCGACCCGGCCCUCCGUCCAGCAGUCUGGGGGUCCAGACCAGGCUCCUCCACUGCCCAUGAAUAGGAGCCGGAUCCUGCGGCAGGCCAAAAGAGAGACCCCUGGAGGAGAGGAGGGAAAUGGCAUCACAGUCAGUCAAUCAGCACCUGGCGGAAAGGAGGUAGAGCGAAAGCUGCAUGGAGGAGCGGAAGCAGAGGCGGAGCACAGUUCAGACACGCCCCUUAACCCAUGCUUCGACUGGGAAUGCAGCUGUGUUUGCCACAUCCACAUGCCCGGCAUGAAGCUGGUAUGGGUGCCCAUCGAUGAGGAAGAAGAAGAAGAUGAAAAGGAGGAGGAGGUUAAGCUGGAGGCGGAAACAGAGGAG